ACAAGGAUUUCAGCCACGCUGUCCACCAGCCCCACCAGAGGGAGCCAGGUCAAGCCAACCAGACCUCUCCUGGGCCCGGUGCCCUGCCUGCAGCUCUGGCGCCAUGACCUUCUCCGAGCUUCUGGACCACCUGGGCAGCAAGGGCCCCUUCCAGUUCCUGAACGUGUUUCUGCUGGGUCUCCCUGUCCUGGGCUUAGCCAACCACAACCUGCUGCAGAUCUUCACAGCGGCCACCCCCGCCCACCACUGCCACCCACCCCCCAACGCCUCCUUGGGGCCCUGGGUGCUCCCAACGGACCUGAAUGGGAAGCCAGAGAGCUGCCUGCGUUUUGCCUACCCGCCCAAUGCCAGCCUGCCCAACCACACCCAGGGGGCCACCGAGCCGUGCCUGGACGGCUGGGUUUACAACAUCAGCUCCGGGGAUUCCAUCGUGACUGAGUGGGAUUUGGUGUGCAGCUCCAACAAGCUGAAGGAGAUGGCCCAGUCGGUCUUCAUGGCGGGUAUACUGAUUGGGGGACUCGUGCUGGGAGACCUCUCUGACAGGUUUGGCCGCAAGCCCAUUCUGACCUGCAGCUACCUGCUGCUGGCUGCUGGAGGCUCAGGCGCUGCCUACAGCCCCACCCUCCCCACCUACAUGGCCUUCCGCUUCCUGUGCGGACUCAGCAUCUCGGGCAUUAGCCUGAGCACCACCAUCUUGACUGUCGAGUGGAUGUCCACCCAGAUGCGAGCCAUCAUGUCCACAAUGCUUGGUUACUUCUACACCGUCGGCCAGUUCAUUCUGCCUGGCCUGGCCUACGCCAUUCCCCAGUGGCGCUGGCUUCAGUUGACCGUGUCCAUUCCCUUCUUCGCCUUCUUCCUCCUGUCCUGGUGGAUACCAGAAUCCGUGCGCUGGUUGGUCCUGUCGGGAAAGUCCAUGAAGGCCCUGAAGAUGCUACAGUGGGUGGCUGCCAUCAAUGGCAAGAAGGAGGAAGGGGACAAGCUCAGCUUGGAGGAUCUCCGACACAUCCUGCAGAAGGAGAUCUCCUUGGCCAAGACCAAGUACGGCGUAGCAGACCUGCUCCGGACGCCCGUCCUACGCCGUGUGACCUUCUGUCUUUCCCUGGCCUGGUUUUCCACUGGUUUUGCCUACUACAGCUUGGCUCUUAGCGUGGGAGAAUUUGGAUUCAACAUCUACAUCCUCCAGUUCAUCUUUGGCGGAGUGGACAUCCCUGCCAAAUUCAUCACCAUCCUCUCCAUGAACCACGUGGGCCGCCCUAUCACCCUGGCCACUACUCUUCUCCUGGCAGGAGGGUCCAUCCUGGUUCUCAUCUUUGUGCCCUCAGACUUUCAGACCCCAAGGACAGUGCUGGCUGUGUUUGGGAAGGGAUGCCUGUCCAGCUCCUUUAGCUGCCUCUUUCUCUACACGAGCGAGCUAUACCCUACAGUCAUCCGGCAAACAGGCUUGGGCAUAACGACCCUGUGGGCCCGAGUGGGAAGCAUGACGGCCCCACUGGUGAAAAUCACAGGGGAGCUGCGGCCCUUCAUCCCCAAUGUCAUCUUUGUGACUGUCACCUUGCUGGGAGGGAGUGCUGCCUUCUUCCUCAUGGAGACCCUCAAUCGGCCUUUGCCAGAGUCAAUCGAAGACGUGGAAAAAUGGUUCCUGCAGGCAAAGGAACAAAAACAAGAAGUCACUGUGGAAAAUGCAUCCCAGAGGAUCCCUCUACAGCCCAUUGCGUCAGAACUGGACCCCAGCUAAGGAACAUCAGAGCUUCCAUCUGGCUUAGUGAAUUGUCAUCCAGUAUGGAUCAGCUCCCUCCAGCAAUGUCUUCAUGCUGAGCCAUGUUGUCGCUGGCCGCCGGCCCUGUCUGACCAAUAGCCUUUGAAUGAAUUUCUUAUUUCUGCACUGCCCAUGGAUGAGGGGCCCCAGGCUAUGAAUCAUUGAAGUUUGUGGCUCCGCUCCUUGCUGAGAAUGUUACUAGAGGUCCAGUGAACAGUUGGCAUCUGUCAGAUUUGUCCCUGGAGAGUAGAGGAAGCAUGGUGACUGGGAGAAAUACUUGGACAGGCAUCACCUGUGUGACUGUGUUCUCCUUUGCCAAGCAGGUCACAUAGAAACUCAUCCAAUCAGAGCUCAGCACUGCCACUAAAUGACCAGGAUCCAGGAACCAAGUGAUUGUCUUGGGAUUAUGACUGAAAAUAAAGUAAGUUUAUACUCCUAGCAGAAGCAAGUAAACAACCCAUGGACAGAGACACAAAACAAAGGGGGAAAUAUCAAUCAAAAUAAACAAGAAGGUGAAAAAACGAAGUCACUGUUAGAAUCAAUCAGUGUCAAAGAACUCAUCCAAGAUGGUGGCUUAGGAAGAAGACUCUAAGCUCUCCUCUCCCUCAGACACAGAGAAUCUACCUCUAUGGCCACCCCAUCAGCUGGGGUCCUAUUCAGGGAGUCCUGAAAUUCCCAGACAGGAUGGGCCUAGACCUCGAACAAAUCCCUCUCUCCAUUGUUACCGGUCAUCUCUAUCAGUAACAACACAAUAGACUCCUUUGUGAGCCCCCAUAGUACCUUGCCCUCAAUUUGGAUCAACAAUGGUAGAGAAUGUUCCAUCCUCUAAAGGAGGAUGCUACACCUGAGGAAGAUGGGUCCUGAUACUGGGACAGCUUGGAAUGUUUCAACUCAUGACCACAGAAUGUGAGCUCAGAUCUAGGGGGAUGCAGAGGUCACACAAGCUGAAUACAGGCCCCAGAUCACAUUAAAUCGAUGGGGUUUACAGUCAACAAUAUUUAUACCCCUUUCCCAUAUUAGGG